rnacentral:misc_RNA from 1 species
AGUCGAACGGCAGCACGGACUUCGGUCUGGUGGCGAGUGGCGAACGGGUGAGUAAUGUAUCGGAACGUGCCUAGUAGCGGGGGAUAACUACGCGAAAGCGUCUUCAAUACCAUACGCCAUCAGGAAAGCGGGGGACCUUCGGGCCUCGCACUAUUGAGCGGCCGAUAUCGGAUUAGUUGGUGGGGUAACGGCUCACCAAGGCGACGAUCCGUAGCUGGUUUGAGAGGACGACCAGCCACACUGGGACUGAGACACGGCCCAGACUCCUACGGGAGGCAGCAGUGGGGAAUUUUGGACAAUGGGGAAACCUGAUCCAGCCAUCCCGCGUGUGCGAUGAAGGCCUUCAGGUUGUAGCUUACUGGCAGGAAAGAAACGGCACGGGAUAAUACCCCGUGCAACUGACGGUACCUGCAGAAUAAGCACCGGCUAACUACGUGCCAGCAGCCGCGGUAAUACGUAGGGUGCAAGCGUUAAUCAAGAUUACUGGGGGCGUAAAGCGUGCGCAGGCGGUUCGGAAAGAAAGAUGUAGAAAUCCCAGAGCUUAACUUUGGAACUGCAUUUUUAACUACCGAGCUGAAAUUGUGUCAGAGGGAGGUGGAAUUCCACGUAGCAGUGAAACGUAGAUAUGCGGAGGAACACCGAUGGCGAAGGCAGCCUCCUGGGAUAACACUGACGCUCAUGCACGAAAGCGUGGGGAGCAAACAGGAUUAGAUACCCCCCGUAGUCCGCCUCAGACAACCUCUACA